AAAAAAUUGAGAUGUUGGCAUAUAUUCGUCAAGAACAAGUGUCUGCAUUGCUACAAAGUCUUGUUGAAGCUUCUAAUAGAGGGAAGGUGGUACCAUGAAGGACAGGAUCACUGAAACCAUCUUUAGUUCUAUUGUUAAGAUGGUGACCAAUAAAAGUUAUUAUGGAUGUGCAAUUGAGGAUCUAAAAGAAGCAAAGGAAUUUAGAGAAGCGAUAGAGGAGACAUUCCUGUUGACAGGGAAGGUGAAGUUUGGGGACUAUAUUCCAGAUCUUAAGUGGGUGGAUCUACAGGGGAUUACCCCACUCUUGAGAGCAUUGGGGAGGAAGAGAGACAGGAUUUUGCAGCAGAUCGUGGAUAAACAUAAGUAAUUGAGGAGCAGUGAGAAUGACAAUUUAAACCAAGAUUUCAUUCACAUGUUCCUUGCAAUGCAAGAGAAUGAUCCUGACUACUUCACAGAUGAUUUAAUUAAGAGAAUAUUUGUGGUUAUGAUGACAGCUCACCCUAGAGUGGGCCUUAGGCAUCCUCCUUAACCACCCGGACUCCCUUCAGACCAACAAGUUGGAAGGGACCGAUUAGUCGAAGAAUCCGACCUCCCCAAGCUAGCGUACCUUCGAGCCAUCAUUUACGAGACAUAACGCUUAUACACUCCAGGCCCUAUGCUUGUACCUCAUGAAUCGACCUCGACCUCAAAGAGCACCCUAGUUGGGUGGUUACCCCGUGCCCAAAGGCACUAUACUUAUGGUGAAUGCAUGGCACAUACAUAAAGACCCUGACUCGUAGCCCGAGCCUUCAAGUUUUUAUGGGGACGGCGGUUGAUGUGAGGAGCCAAGAUUUUAGGUUUAUUCCUUUUAGUGCUGGUAGGAGGAUCUGUCCUGGCAUUGAGGUGCUCGCGAGCUUGUUGCAUGGGUUCGAGUGGCAGAGGGAAGGCAUUGAGCCAGUUGAUAAGUCAGAGGGUGUGGGACUCACGAUGCCAAGGGCCGUGCCCUUGAAGGCAUUCGCAUAUAUAAUAUAAUUUCCUAUCUAAUUUCCAGUUGAUAUGUCGGAGCGUAAAAAAAGGAGUUCUUAACUAAAAGAUGGCGGCAGAAUCAUUUUUCUGUAACAUAUGUAUUAGCUUUUACUUGCGAGAUGGUAAAACUCACAAAAGCAGCCCAUUCCAGCAUCACCACGAAUGCUUUCACUGUUUGUAUGAGAUUGUCUAUAAAGAAGCCAUUUAUCUUUUGUACAUAAAUGUCACAAUCAUUCACACUCAUUAGAUAUCAAAUUGGAUAACUUGAGAUGAGUCACAAAGUCCAAAAAAAAAA